GGGCGGGUGAGUAACGCGGUAAGAACCUGCCAUUGGGAGGGGAACAACAGCUGGAAACGGCUGCUAAUACCCCAUAGGCUGAGGAGCAAAAGGAGGAAUCCGCCCAAGGAGGGGCUCGCGUCUGAUUAGUUAGUUGGUGAGGCAAUGGCUUACCAAGGCGACGAUCAGUAGCUGGUCCGAGAGGAUGAUCAGCCACACUGGGACUGAGACACGGCCCAGACUCCUACGGGAGGCAGCAGUGGGGAAUUUUCCGCAAUGGGCGAAAGCCUGACGGAGCAAUGCCGCGUGAAGGCAGAAGGC
rnacentral:rRNA from 1 species